rnacentral:rRNA from 1 species
AGUGAACGCUGGCGGUAGGCCUAAUACAUGCAAGUCGAACGGAAGCACAGUAAGAGUUCUCUCUUAACGGUGGCGAGUGGCGGGUGGGUGAGGCAUACAUAGGCAUCUAAUUUUUCGUGGGGGACAUCGUAGGGCCACUUCUGCUACCACCGCAUAUGAUCUACGGGUGAAAGCAGGGGUUCAUCGGACCUUGCCUGAUUCAAUUAGACGGAGUCGGAUUAGCUAGGUGGUGGGGUAACGGCUCACCAAGGCAACGAAGCGUAGCUGGCCUGAGAGGAUGAUCGGCCACACUGGAACUGAGACACGGUCCAGACUCCUACGGGAGGCAGCAGUGGGGAAUAUUGCGCAAUGGGCGCAAGCCUGACCCAGCCACGCCGCGUGAGUGAUGAAGGUCUUCGGGUCGUAAAACCCUGUUAUUAGGGAAGAAAAACAGCGGAAGAAAACCCGGCUGUUCUGACGGUACCCAAACAGAAAGCACCGGCUAACUUCGUG